CAACCUAUAGAUACACGAAAAGAGAAUAUAAAUACAGAGACCAGCGGUCAAUACGUGUCAAGAACAAAUCAAAUCAAAUCAAAUCAAUCACCAACGGGAUCUUCACACACAUUCGCCGGCGUAUACUCCACGCCGGUCCCGCCAAAUCUCCCUUUUUCCCUAUAAUGUAGCUACCACCAACAGAUCACCGGAAAACUCUUCUAUUUCUCUUCUCCGUCGUCCUCUUCCGGCGCCUCAUUUUAUUCUCCGGAACGGGCGAAUCAAGCAUGAUAUUCUAGUUUUGCCUUUUUCGGAGCAAUGGAUCACAAUCACUUCACCAUAAAGACAUUUAUGGCCAUUAUGGCCGAGAGGGACGCUGCCAUACAGGAAAGAAACUUAGCACUAGAAGAGAGAAAACGCGCAUUUGCCGAGCGUGACAUGGCAAUGCUACAGCGGGACGCCGCACUAGCGGAACGUAACACCGCUAUGCAAGAACGAGACGAAGCAAUCUCCACCAUUCGUUUCCGAAGCAAUUUCAUCAACGAAAAUAUGAUCUCCACAACCUCCGAACCACCCGAAAACAUACAAAACCAUGGAUCAAAACGUGGCUUUAACGAUGAAGAAAUGCAUCACAUGUUUGAAAUUCCGGAAGAUUACCAACUUCCUCCCCCUGAGAACACCAAGCCUAGAAAGGUACCGAAAAAGACUAAAUCCCAAUCACCACACGUCGGUAGCAAACGGGCUGAUGUUACAAAUGUUACAAACGUUAACUCCGAUUAUGAAGAGAGUUCCAGCGACGCACAACUUGAAGCAUGGAAAGACGAAUUGGGAUUAAACCAAGUGAAUUUCGACGAAACAGCGAUGCCAGUGCCGGUAUGCUCAUGCACGGGUGUACCGCAACCUUGUUACAGGUGGGGCAGUGGCGGCUGGCAGUCGGCAUGCUGCACGACCACCAUGUCGAUGUAUCCUUUACCCCUGGUGACCAACAAAAGGUAUUCAAGAGUUGGUGGUAGAAAGAUGAGUGGUGGUGCUUUUACCAAACUGCUGACUAGACUUGCUUCUGAAGGUUAUGACCUUUCUACCCCUCUUGAUUUGAAGGACCAUUGGGCCAAACAUGGUACUAACCGCUACAGCAAACUAAAAUAGCUUGCAGAAGUCUUCAUCAAGUGUUACAAAGUCUAUGGUUUUACCUUAAAAAGUAUAAUAUUGUGGUAUAGGAAUGAUUACAUGUUUUGCUACCAAAGGAGAGACAUAUGGAUUGCAUAGAAGGUAUAAAUUAGUUGUUGUUGUUGCCUUUUUAUGUUUUUCUAUUUGACAGAAAUGAAUCUUGAAUUGUAAUUCAAUAGAAAGCUAGAGGGAGGAUUAUGUGUUGUGUUACCAUUUCUUAUUCUUGUCUUUAGGCAUUAUGGUUAAAAUAUAUAUUUGUGUAGAGAAUUGUAUAAACACUUGUAUUUAAUGCUUUCAAAUAUUGUGUGAGAGAGGGUGAGGUUGUUAUGCA